rnacentral:rRNA from 1 species
AUCCCGCCGGACCUGACUGCUAUCGGAUUGAUACUAAGCCAUGCGAGUCUUUGCAGUAAUGCAAGGCGGACUGCUCAGUAACACGUAGUCAACUUAACCUAUGGAUGGGUAUAACCUCGGGAAACUGAGAAUAAUUCCCAAUAGAUCAUUUAUCCUGGAAUGGUUAGUGAUUGAAAUGAUUCGUCGCCAUAGGAUAGGACUGCGGCCUAUCAGCUUGUUGGUGAGGUAAAGGCCCACCAAGGCUAUUACAGGUACGGGCUCUGAGAGAAGAAGCCCGGAGAUGGGUACUGAGACACGGACCCAGGCCCUAUGGGGCGCAGCAGGCGAGAAAACUUUGCAAUGUGCGAAAGCACGACAAGGUUAAUCCGAGUGAUUUCUGCUAAAGAAAUCUUUUGCCAGUUCUAAAAAUACUGGUGAAUAAGGGGUGGGCAAGUUCUGGUGCCAGCAGCCGCGGUAAU